rnacentral:tRNA from 1 species
AAUUAAGAAUCAUUUAGAAUUUCAAUUUCGACUUGAAAAUAAGGUUAUUAAUUCACCCUUAAUUA